UGGAAAAGGCCUUGGGGAGGGUUCUAGGAGGGGCAUCAUUCAAGCAUGGACAGGGCCUCUGCUUAGGACCUGCCCAGAAGUGGAGAGGCAGCACAUCCAAAGGGCUGCCUCCAGAGUGUGGAGUUCCGGAGUUUGUAGCCUCACUUAGAAUUCAGGACAGGGGAAGAAUUACGGCUCUCAUUUUUACAGCCAGAUGUCUGAGCCGCAGGAGGAGAAGUGGAAAGUGAUGGUAUGGGGAUUCUGAUGACUCAGUGUAAAAGGAUGGCGACUCUGUACACAGAGAUGCAGUAAUAAACAGAGAAUUUAAGACUGAAGCAGGAGAAUUCUGGUCUUAGUCAAUCUAUAUGAGACCAGUUCUAUUACUGACACAAAGCAAGUCACCAUUCUUUUAAGACUUAAUUUGUUCUUUUCACGUCAAAGCAGCAAUGGGAUGCAACUGCCUACCCGGCAACUUUAAGAAAUUAUUUAUGAAAGGACACGUUCCCCACAAGGCCUUCCAGAGAAGGGGGCAUACAAGGGGAGCAAAAGGAAUAAAGAAAGGAUGGGGCAUGAACACAGAACCGAUAGACCAGGCGCUUGACACUAAAGGCUUAACAUCAAAUGCAGCCAGAAAUCCAUUUCCACAGUUUUAUUGGCCAUUCUGGCUGCCUCAUUUCAAAGGGAAAGAUUUGAAUUCAGAGACAUAACAUUCCCUUUGUUCUCUUGCCCUCCAGCCUUUGGUGCCAGUGUGGACUGUACCAGAGGGAGAGAGUGAGAUCAAAACCCCUCUCCGCUCAGCUACCUGCCCCCAGAGCUGGCCCUUGGCAUGCUUAAUGAAAUCAGCUUUGCUAUAGAUUGACAAUGCCCUGUCAAUUAUAAUCACUUAUCUUGGCAAGCAGAGCAUUUGAACACUUAAAAGAGCAGGGGGUUCAGUGGGCCCAGAAAAACCAGAAUAAAAUUAUACUGCAUGGUAAUCAGAGCAAGAGUAUAUUGCUCACAUAAAAUUUUGUUUUAACUGUCAGAAGGACCGAUAGGAUUUUCCAUCUCGUUUUCUGCCCAUUGGGUGUUUGUGGUUCCAUCUGGGGUCCCUUUCUCCCAACUGACGUUAAUAGGGGUAUUGUGUCAGUAGAGGAGGGGGACCACGGGAUGCACAGGGAAGAUUUGGGGUACACGGGGGACACUGGGAGGGGAUGCGAUGGCCUGUGACAUAGCAAGCAGUACAGGAUUUGAGGGGAUUCCUGGCUCUCCCACUUUCUGACCGCGAGCCUAGAUACACUGUCCCCCCACGCAGGGUCUCAUUUGUCUUCUAGAUAAUGGAGCAAAUAGAGAAGGUCACCCUUAUGGCACCACUGCGGCAGACAUACUUUUCUUCCUACUCACUUACUAUUGUAAAACCUGGGCUUUAGCUGGACAGUUGACCACCCAGAGGAUCUCCCCAGCCCUCCCUGAUCAGCUUUGGGUGGGAGCAGCUAGAGCAGCCCUGGGGGAGUUGAGGGGCGAGAGUGAGGACCCGCUGAUUGCACCAAGAGCGGCUGAGCGAGGGGUCUCCCUGCUUCACUAUCCCACACGCCUGCACAGUGGCAUCUGUCUAGGAAGCUUCUGGUAGGACCUGCAGUCCUGAGGGGUGGGGGGCUGCUGACAGAGGGCUUCGGGACUCAGGAGAACCUCCUGCACCUAGGACGGGAGGACCUUUUGAAUGGCGAGCCCGGGACCAAGGCAGCCACUGCCCUCAGAUACCCGGCAACAAAAACAAAGCCAGAAGCUGACCAAGGCCAGUAGGUGCUGAGGAUGGUCGUGGGCUGGACCCAUCCUUCCCUGAAGCCAGAAUGAUCUGCUCCUCUUCCUCUUGAUUCCUCACACCUUUCCUGGAGAGAAGGAAAGGGGAAAAUCUCUGAUCAGAUGGGGAACUUCUCCAAAGGUGACAGUUGAAACCAGAUGACCCUGGGUCAUCAGAAACUGAUGGUUUUCUGCCAUCAGCAGGAAAGAUGCUUGAGAGCUGUUAGUUCUCUCUGCAACCAGGACUUGGCCUACGAGCACAUGGAGAGCUGCCACAUCGUUCUGGCUCUUCUGCCGUAACCUGUUGGAAGAAUUUCGGUAAAUGACGUAAAAAUAAA